rnacentral:rRNA from 1 species
GACGAAGGAUGCAAGCGUUAUCCGGAUUCAUUGGGUUUAAAGGGAGCGUAGGUGGCCUUAUAAGUCAGUGGUGAAAUCUCUGGGCUUAACCCAGAAAUUGCCAUUGAUACUGUAGGGCUUGAGUAUAGUUGCCGUUGGCGGAAUAUGACAUGUAGUGGUGAAAUACAUAGAGAUGUCAUAGAACACCGAUUGCGAAGGCAGCUGACGAAACUAUAACUGACACUGAGGCUCGAAAGUGCGGGGAUCAAAC